UUCGCACCUCUUCCUUUUCCGCGCAGCCGCGGAGAAUGGGAGGUGUGCUUUCGCCAUGGUGGCCCGUGGGAAAGGAGCCUGUGGGCCCGGUGCCGGGUUCUUCGAGGUACAACAUCUAGUGGCAUGAAGAUGUAUGCAGAUGGUUGGAAUAAAUGCUCUUCAAAACUUGUCAUAGAAGAUGACUGAAGAAAAUGAGUAGGACCACAUUUGACAUGUAACACGGUACCAUAGCAGCUAUCAAUGAAUGCUCCAGUCCUUUUGAUGUAGUGUUUAAAAAUACAUCCUUGCCUCAAAGGUGUGGCAUGCAACAUUGUGAAAG